UACGUAGGGCGCAAGCGUUGUCCGGAAUUACUGGGCGUAAAGCGCACGUAGGCGGAUUUGUAAGUCAGGGGUGAAAUCCCGGGGCUCAACCCCGGAACUGCCUUUGAUACUGGGUAUCUCGAGUCCGGAAGAGGUGAGUGGAAUUCCGAGUGUAGAGGUGAAAUUCGUAGAUAUUCGGAGGAACACCAGUGGCGAAGGCGGCUCACUGGUCCGGUACUGACGCUGAGGUGCGAAAGCGUGGGGAGCAAACAGGG
rnacentral:rRNA from 1 species